CCCAUUAGGUGCCACCAGGCUCUAUCAAUCAGCUCCCAUCAGAUCCCACCAGAUCCCAUCAGUUCCCAUCAGAUCCCACCAGGCCCAGUCAGAUCCCACCAGGGAUCCCAUCAGGUGUCACCAGCCCCUAUCAGCUCCCAUCAGAUCCCACCAGGGAUCCCAUUAGGUGCCACCAGGCCCUAUCAGCUCCCAUCAGAUCCCACCAGAUCCCAUCAGUUCCCAUCAGAUCCCACCAGGCCCAGUCAGAUCCCACCAGGGAUCCCAUCAGGUGUCACCAGCCCCUAUCAGCUCCCAUCAGAUCCCACCAGAUCCCAUCAGAUCCCACCAGAUCCCACCAGGCCCUAUCAACUCCCAUUAGAUCCCACCAGGUGCCACCAGGCCCUAUCAGAUCCCACCCGAUCCCACCAGGCCCCAUCAGAUCCCACCAGGUUCCACCAGGUGCCAUCAGAUCCCACUAGAUCCCACCAGGCCCUAUCAGAUCCCAGCAGAUCCCACCAGGCCCCACCAGAUCCCACCAGGCCCCACCAGAUCCCAACAGGCCCUAUCAGAUCCCACCAGAUCCCAUCGGGUGCCAUCAGAUCCCAUCAGGUGUCACCGGAUCCCAUCAUCAGAUCCCACCAGGCCCUAUCAGAUCCCACUGGAUCCCUUCAGAUCCCACCAGAUCCCAUUAGGUGCCACCCGGCCCUAUCAGCUCCCAUCAGAUCCCACCAGACCCUAUCAGAUCCCAUCAGAUCCCACCAGGCCCUAUCAGAUCCCACCGGAUCCCUUCAGAUCCCACCAGAUCCCAUUAGGUGCCACCAGGCCCUAUCAGCUCCCAUCAGAUCCCACCAGAUCCCAUCAGUUCCCAUCAGAUCCCACUGGGUGCCACCAGGUCCCACCAGAUCCUAUCAGACCCCACCAGAUCCCACCAGAUCUCACCAGACCCUAUCAGAACCCACCAGAUCCCACCAGGCCCUAUCAACUCCCAUUAGAUCCCACCAGGUGCCACCAGGCCCUAUCAGAUCCCAUCAGAUCCCACCAGGCCCCACCAGAUCCCACCAGAUCCCAUCAGAUCCCACCAGGCCCUAUCAGAUCCCACCGGAUCCCUUCAGAUCCCACCAGAUCCCAUUAGGUGCCACCAGGCUCUAUCAAUCAGCUCCCAUCAGAUCCCACCAGAUCCCAUCAGUUCCCAUCAGAUCCCACCAGGCCCAGUCAGAUCCCACCAGGGAUCCCAUCAGGUGUCACCAGCCCCUAUCAACUCCCAUCAGAUCCCACCAGAUCCCAUUAGGUGCCACUAGGCCCUAUCAGAUCCCAUCAGAUCCCACCAGAUCCCAUCAGAUCCCACCAGAUCCCA
ensembl:lncRNA